AUACCAUGAUGCAGGCAUUUCCUUGAAAAUUCUUUUAAUCUCUCUCAUGCAUCAUAAAAUGAUCCCCCUUCCGUCUGGUAAAAGUUAUUAAUUUCCCCUCUCAACUU